CGCACAUUGCGCCCCUUGGUAUUCCGAGGGGCAUGCCUGUUCGAGCGUCAUUUCAACCCCUCAAGCUCUGCUUGGUAUUGGGCCUCGCCAUCGCGGCGGGCCUUAAAAUCAGUGGCGGUGCCGUCUCGGCUCCAAGCGUAGUAGCAUCAUCUCGCUCUGGAGACCCGGCGGUUGCUGGCCAGAUAACCCCCCAAUUCUUUCUGUGGUUGACCUCGGAUCAGGUAGGGAUACCCGCUGAACUUAA
rnacentral:misc_RNA from 1 species